UGGGGAAUAUUGCACAAUGGGCGCAAGCCUGAUGCAGCCAUGCCGCGUGUACGAAGAAGGCCUUCGGGUUGUAAAGUACUUUCAGUCGGGAGGAAGGCGGUGAGGUUAAUAACCUCAUCGAUUGACGUUACCCGCAGAAGAAGCACCGGCUAACUCCGUGCCAGCAGCCGCGGUAAUACGGAGGGUGCAAGCGUUAAUCGGAAUUACUGGGCGUAAAGCGCACGCAGGCGGUCUGUCAAGUCGGAUGUGAAAUCCCCGGGCUCAACCUGGGAACUGCAUUCGAAACUGGCAGGCUAGAGUCUUGUAGAGGGGGGUAGAAUUCCAGGUGUAGCGGUGAAAUGCGUAGAGAUCUGGAGGAAUACCGGUGGCGAAGGCGGCCCCCUGGACAAAGACUGACGCUCAGGUGCGAAAGCGUGGGGAGCAAACAGG
rnacentral:rRNA from 1 species